rnacentral:lncRNA from 1 species
GUUGGACCAUCUAGUUGCCGUUUGUCUGUAGUAACCAAAUUUGUCAGGGUUUUCGAAUUUUAGUGUUAAUGCUUUUCGGGCCCAAUUUCAGGCCCGAUCUUGGGCCCCAAUUUCGGACCCGUUACUAUUAUUAACUAAGAGGCUGCCACCUCUCAUGUAUUGUCAGAAAACGUCGCAAAUUGUGGUUGGAAAAGGGGGAGGUGGCAGUCUCAUUUUUUGAUUUAAAAGGACAUCCAAGGAGGGGUUUGGGGAGCGAGUUUUUUCCCAAUAACAUGACCCCCAUAAUCCCCUAAAAAACACAGUCCAAAAAAAGAAGAAAUUUAUUACGGCACAAUACAUUAAAACUAAACACUAAAAAACAUCUGUCGUCAUUCGCUUCGUCGUCACUCGCAAGAGGGCCGCCACCUGAAAUACGACAAAAACAAGAAGAUUCGAUUUACAGGUAAUCAUUCAAACAUUCCUAUUCAAAAGCAUUCAUGCAAUAUUCAUACAUACAUUUGGUGGCACUUAUACUCUCUUAAAAAUCAUCCUCGAAUAUUCAUUAUGACUAAUCAAGAUUCUAAUAUUCGUUAUGACUAAUCGAGUAAACGUUUCAUGGUGGUAAAUAGGCUAGCAAACCCUUAAAAUGAGAUUCAAAACUCAACUGAAGUUGCUGAAAUUUCUUUUAACAUUAGCAAAAAACAACUUUUUUUUAUAAAACCUAAUUUGAACAUUUAGAUUAUUACCACAACCUCGGUAACGAAACUUGGCUAACGAAAUAGAAAUUAGUUAAAAAAAUACUAAACCUUUUUUUUACCAAACUGUUUCCUCUCUAUCCGCUGCUGCCGUCGAUUUCCGCAUCUAACCAAAAAAUAAAAACAAUAAACCCAAUAGAACUCACAAAAUCAGAAAAAGGGACUUCAAACUUAGGUCUACGGAACAGGACAUGCAUAUCACCGGAGGACUCGCCGGAGCCUCCCCUGAUGACAUGUAUGUCUGUUGAAAUCAGAAAAGCAGAAAAGAGGGUUCAGAGAUCUUUUACCUUUUCUUUCUUUUCAUGGUGGUGAUUGGGAGAGGAGAGGUAAGACAUAGGCAACGGCAGCGGCCGUCGUCGCUAGAAAUUUAAAAGGUGUAGGGGAAGAGGCGGCUGAGAAGAGAAAAAAAAAGUAAAAAGGAAGGGGAAUAGUCACGGCGGCGGCGGCGGUAGAGAGGAAGAAGGAGAGAAUAGAGGAGGAGAGUUAGAGAAAAGGCAAAGAGAAUAGAGAAGAGAGAAGAGAGGAGAGAGAGUGUGUGGC